CCUACGGGAGGCAGCAGUGAGGAAUAUUGGUCAAUGGGCGCGAGCCUGAACCAGCCAAGUAGCGUGAAGGAUGACUGCCCUACGGGUUGUAAACUUCUUUUAUCAAGGAAUAAAGUGAGGCACGUGUGCCUUUUUGUAUGUACUUUAUGAAUAAGGAUCGGCUAACUCCGUGCCAGCAGCCGCGGUAAUACGGAGGAAUCGAGCGUUCUCCGGAUUUAUUGGGUUUAAAGGGAGCGUAGAUGGGUUGUUAAGUCAGUUGGGAAAGUUUGCGGCUCAACCGGAAAAUUGCAAUUGAAACUGGCAGUCUUGAGUACAGUAGAGGUAGGCGGAAUUCGUGGUGUAGCGGUGAAAUGCUUAGAUAUCACGAAGAACUCCGAUUGCGAAGGCAGCUUACUAAACUGCCACUGACAUUGAUGCUCGAAAGUGUGGGUAUCGAACAGGAUUAGAUACCCGGGUAGUC
rnacentral:rRNA from 1 species